rnacentral:rRNA from 1 species
GAUGAACGCUGGCGGCGUGCCUAAUACAUGCAAGUCGAGCGAACGGACGAGAAGCUUGCUUCUCUGAUGUUAGCGGCGGACGGGUGAGUAACACGUGGAUAACCUACCUAUAAGACUGGGAUAACUUCGGGAAACCGGAGCUAAUACCGGAUAAUAUUUUGAACCGCAUGGUUCAAUAGUGAAAGACGGUCUUGCUGUCACUUAUAGAUGGAUCCGCGCCGCAUUAGCUAGUUGGUAAGGUAACGGCUUACCAAGGCAACGAUGCAUAGCCGACCUGAGAGGGUGAUCGGCCACACUGGAACUGAGACACGGUCCAGACUCCUACGGGAGGCAGCAGUAGGGAAUCUUCCGCAAUGGGCGAAAGCCUGACGGAGCAACGCCGCGUGAGUGAUGAAGGUCUUCGGAUCGUAAAACUCUGUUAUUAGGGAAGAACAUAUGUGUAAGUAACUGUGCACAUCUUGACGGUACCUAAUCAGAAAGCCACGGCUAACUACGUG